rnacentral:rRNA from 1 species
GACGAACGCUGGCGGCGUGCCUAACACAUGCAAGUCGAACGGGGUAAUUCCUUCGGGGAUUACUUAGUGGCGAACGGGUGAGUAACGCGUGAGGAACCUGCCUUUCAGUGGGGGACAACAGUUGGAAACGACUGCUAAUACCGCAUAACAUCUUUUGGAGGCAUCUCUGAAAGAUCAAAGCUUUAUGUGCUGAAAGAUGGCCUCGCGUCUGAUUAGCUAGUUGGUGAGGUAACGGCUCACCAAGGCGACGAUCAGUAGCCGGUCUGAGAGGAUGAACGGCCACAUUGGGACUGAGAUACGGCCCAGACUCCUACGGGAGGCAGCAGUGGGGAAUAUUGGGCAAUGGGGGAAACCCGUGACCCAGCAACGCCGCGUGAGGAAGAA